rnacentral:rRNA from 1 species
UACGUAGGGGGCAAGCGUUGUCCGGAAUCAUUGGGCGUAAAGAGCGCGUAGGCGGCCCUGUAAGUCCGCUGUGAAAGUCAAGGGCUCAACCCUGGGAUGCCGGUCGAUACUGCCGGACUAGAGUUCGGAAGAGGCGAGUGGAAUUCCCGGUGUAGCGGUGAAAUGCGCAGAUAUCGGGAGGAACACCUAUGGCGAAGGCAGCUCGCUGGGACGUUACUGACGCUGAGACGCGAAAGCGUGGGGAGCAAACAGG